rnacentral:rRNA from 1 species
UGGGGGAUAUUGCACAAUGGGCGAAAGCCUGAUGCAGCGACGCCGCGUGGGGGAUGAAGGCUUUCGGGUUGUAAACCUCUUUCGCUAUCGAACAAGGCCCCUUAGGGUGGGUUGAGGGUAGGUGGAGAAGAAGCGCCGGCUAACUACGUGCCAGCAGCCGCGGUAAUACGUAGGGCGCGAGCGUUGUCCGGAAUUAUUGGACGUAAAGGGCUUGUAGGCGGCUUGUUGCGCCUGCUGUGAAAACGCGGGGCUUAACUUCGCGCGUGCAGUGGGUACGGGCAGGCUUGACUGUGGUAGGGGUGACUGGAAUUCCAGGUGUAGCGGUGGAAUGCGCAGAUAUCUGGAGGAACACCGAUGGCGAAGGCAGGUCACUGGGCCAUUACUGACGCUGAGGAGCGAAAGCAUGGGUAGCGAACAGG